rnacentral:rRNA from 1 species
CCUACGGGAGUCAGCAGUGAGGAAUAUUGGUCAAUGGGCGAGAGCCUGAACCAGCCAAGUCGCGUGAAGGAUGACGGCCCUACGGGUUGUAAACUUCUUUUGUCAGGGAGCAAUUGGGUCCACGCGUGGGCUUAGCGAGAGUACCUGAAGAAAAAGCAUCGGCUAACUCCGUGCCAGCAGCCGCGGUAAUACGGAGGAUGCGAGCGUUAUCCGGAUUUACUGGGUGGAAAGGGAGCGUAGACGGCUGUGCAAGUCUGAAGUGAAAGCCCAGGGCUCAACCCUGGGACUGCUUUGGAAACUGUGGAGCUAGAGUGCUGGAGAGGUAAGUGGAAUUCCUAGUGUAGCGGUGAAAUGCGUAGAUAUUAGGAGGAACACCAGUGGCGAAGGCGGCUUACUGGACAGUAACUGACGUUGAGGCUCGAAAGCGUGGGGAGCAAACAGGAUUAGAUACCCGGGUAGUC